UGCAUCUGACCUGGGACAGUUAAAUUGCAAGAGGGUUAGUUUGCAGAGCAGAUCGUCUAAGGAGGAAACACUACCACACUCCAGUUUGGAGUUGGAGGGAAGAAUGCAAACAAAUCCCCAGGUUUUAGAUUCUGGAUGGUGAUGCCCACCAGGUGCCGCGGGAACAACAGCUGUCUCCACCAACCCGGGAACUCGUUGUGCCUCAGAAGGGAGGAGUCAGGGCAGGCAGGAGGCCAAAGUGCUCGAGGAAAUCCAGAGACGUGGAGACAAAGCUUUCUACUCCUUAAAACCAUAAUACCAUAUCUGCAUGUGUGCCUACGUGACAACAUCCUGAGUGAGAGAUGGCUUGAACUCAAGAGGUGUGAAGAGGAGAGAAACAGUCUUCAAGAGCCACAUAAAGAUGGUGGAGUCAAUGUGACAAAAUCUGCCUGGUCACCCAAGAGAGAAGCAGGGAGUCAUUCCCAACAUCCUUCCUCUAUCUCUUCCCCUGGCCUCUGCAAAUCUGCCACUGGUAACUGAGACUGGUGUCCCUGGCUCUGGACUCACCUUUACCAUCUCCCUGAGAGCAGGAGCCAACAGUUUUCCUGUAAAGAAGCAGCUGGAGAAUGCCAGCAGCUUUGCAGAGACGAUCUCCAUCACCACUACCUAACUCUCCUGCAGCACAGACAGCACACAGGUUGCCAUGCCUCGACAGUUCCUGAGGAAAUUCUGAAGAGACCCUGGCUCAUAGCUGAAGCUUGGUUUUUGCAAGGUAGAUAUACAAUGGUGACAGAGAAGGACAAGGCAUCCCCACUCCUAGAGCUUCCAUUACAGUGUGACUAGUGAAUAAACAGUGUAGCAUGAGCUUUGACAAGGAAAGACAUUGUAAAAGGCAAUGUGACAUAGAGGGACAGAUAGGUUGGGAAGAUAGGGCCAGACUGUGGGCAUUUCCACUGGAGAUAGAGUGGCCACAGGGUUUUCCUGAGUCGUUCAAUCUGCGAUCUCACAACACUCAUUCAGCUUUCUAAUGAAGCCUGUCAAAUGCCAGUUGUUAUGCAUUUAUUUACUCAUCUGUCUCUUCUGGGCACUGUGAGCCCCUCAUCAGCAGAAACCCUAACUGAAUGCUCCGGGGACCUGAGCCUGGGGAAAAUAGCUUCUGCAUGGAAUCCAUUGAGAUACUCCCUCCAACUGCAGCUUGUGUCUCCACCACCAACCACAGUAGCAACUUGGGGAAACUGAGGCAGCGGCAGAGGGAACCUCAAAGUUCAGCACACUAGCAAACCCACUCCAAAGGCCGAUGGCUGAAGGAGUCAGUUGAUACAUGUGCAUUACAUUUACCUUAGAAAUUAAGGGCAUCCAUCUACCAGUCAAUCACCAGUGGGUUUCCCCAGUCAUCUAAACAUCUGAAAAACAGUCCGGGAGACAUUAAACAUGCACACGAUGUGGCUGAGUCUAGAUAUUUGUGGUGAUGCCACUGGAUAAAAAUAGCCCCUCAAUGGCCUUAAGGAGGACAAAGCCCCUUCAGUGCGGAUGGGGGAAGGGGGUAACCUUUUAAUCCUUCUUUUUAAAAAAAUUUAAGCCUAUUCUUUGUCUUCCAAGCAUGAAGGGGAUACUGGCUUGCUACAGAACAUUUGGAAAAGUACAGAAAAUUGCAAAGACCCUCCUAAAAAUGCUUUGGCGUACUUCCUUCCAGCCUCCCAAUGCUGCUCCUGCUGACAGCAGAGUGGGGAGUAAGCGCAGAGGGGAAACACAGUCUUUUUACUGAUUAUUUUAUAUACAAUGAGGUAUCAAAGUAGGGCCUGGCCUUUUUGCAUAUGCUUUUAAUUUUAUCUGAUUAUGAAAGAAAUAUGUUCUAAUUUUGGAACUGAUAAGAAAGAAGUGUCUGUCACCUAUAUCCUGUCCCUAAGAGAUAAAGACUGUUCAUGCUGUACAUGCAUUUCAAAAACCUAUUUUCUAGGCAAAUCAAUAUAGGUGAGAUCUUGCUGGGCAGUCAGGGUUGCAUCCUGAAAAAUUAUUUUCAUGUAAUUUCACAUCAGAAAUAUUCCACCCCCCCAACCUCAAAACCUUUUUUGUAAGUGGAUGAUAACAACAAUCCAAUCCAAUUCUCUGGAUGGAUAAUUUUAAAAAUGAUUUUUAAGUGGUUUGGCAUUUCUAAAUUUUUACGACUCUGCCUCUAAACAUGGUGGACAUUUUCAAUACAAGUUUUUGGUGUGAGUUUCAAACUGUCCCCAUAAGAAAAGGAGAAUCUAUUUCUAUAACAAUAUAUGUCUGUAUGUUCAGUAUAUGAUCUUCAAAAUAUAGGUCAUCGGGGAGUAUAAGUUGGUACAAUGGGUUUGGAAGGCUGCUGGCGUCUGCUCAAUUAGCACGAGCUUACCCUUCAACUAGCAAUCUCUCUCAUAGGUCUAUACUCAAGAAAUUAUUGUCCAUGUCCUCAGAAAGAGGGUAUGAGAAUGUACAUAGGGCUGGGGGUGCAGAUCAGUGUAGAGGGCUUGUCUAGCUUGCACCAGGCCCUGGGUUCAACUCCCUGUACAUACACGUGCACACAAAAUAAGGUCAAUCAUGUUUUUAAACUGGAACAACCUGAUUUGUCAAUAAUUUAUCAAUAGAAAAAUAAAUAAAUAAGUUGUGGCCUAUUCACAGAAUAACAUACCACAUUGAGUUCUGAGUGUUAGGGUUCCCUAACCAAAUUCAUGUAUUGAAACUUAAUCACUAAUGUGAUUGUGUUGGGAGGUAGGGCCUUUGGGAUUAGUGCCCUCGUAAAAGAGGUCCCAGAGUUCCCUGUCACCCCUUCCACCAUGUGUAAAGUGCCAUUUAUGAGUCUGGAGGCAGAACCUUUCCAAACUCCAUCUGCUGGCCCCUCAUCUUGAACUUCCAGCCUCCAACCUGGGGGCAAUGAACUUCUGUUGUUAGAAGUCACUUGGUUUAUGGUAUUUGGUUAUAGGAACCCAACAGAGAAGACGCUACAUAAUUAAGAACAAUGAAAUAUUGCUACAUGCAACAAAAUGCACAGAUAUCUCAGAAAUUGUUAUGCAAAAGGGCACAACACAAGAGGAUGAAGACUGUGUGAUUCCAUUUUUACAAAAUUUAUAAACAGGGAAAAUUGAUCAGGGUAGAAAUCAGAACACUGUUUCCUUUUGGAUGGGAGUAGGGCAGGAGGGGUUGCUAGAAGCAGUUCUAUAUUUUGAUCUGUGUAGUGAUUGUCUCUAUGUGUUCAAAUGUGCAAAUCUGUGACGCUAUAUGUUUAAAAUUAAUGUAGUUAACACACUUUACUAUAUACAGGUUUUGCAAAAAAAGAAAAAAAGUUCUACCAGUGCCAGUACAUUAUCUCACUAAAGGAGAACUUCAGUCACUUGUUCACGCGGUGGGCACCCUCUGGGGAGAUGUUUGUGGAAAGCAACGUGUUGUAAAGAUCAUCCUGUUUCCUGCCGCACCUUACCCUCAGAGAGUCUAUGGCUUGACAAAGAGAAUAAAGUGGGCACCGUUUUCCUCUGUGCCUCGCCCCCUUCUUUUGCUCUAUGCCUUAGAGACUAUGGCUGUUUGUGGUCAGGCAGAGUCAGCAGGGAUGGCCUGGGGGACUCCUUCACUGGAGGAGUAGGGAUGCCAAGAUCAGGGACCUGGUUGUCUUCUUCAUUCACUGGAGGAUACAUGCUGAGCCAGUAAACUGGUGCCAGGCCUGGGCCAUGUGCACGGAUGUACAAUACAGGAGCAGAGGGACCUCACACCGAUCAGGAUGGUUCUUAGCAGAAGACCAGGAAAGGACAAGUAUAGACAAGGAGCUUGGGAGAUUGGAACCUGGAUGCACUGCUGAUGGGAGUAAAAUGGUGCAGCGCGUUGAGCAAGACGUAGGAUAGCUCCUCAGCAAUUAGAAUCACUGUAGGAUCCACCAAUCCCACUUCACAGCACGUGUGCAUACACACACACACACACACACACACAUAAUAAAGCAGGGGCAUGAAGAGAUAUUUAUACACCCAUGUUCAUU